rnacentral:rRNA from 1 species
UGCAGUGGUCAUACCGGAGAGGAUACACCCGUUCCCAUCCCGAACACGGAAGUUAAGCUCUUCAGGGCCGAUGGUACUGGGGUUUGUCCCCGGGAGAGUAGGACGCCGCUGCAG